rnacentral:lncRNA from 1 species
UUCGUGAUCAUGGAAUCUCCCCUGUCAGGUCACAGAGUUCUGUCACUGAUCACCAAAAUGAUCCCAAACAGAUAUAACCUAUUCCUGCUUUCCUUGGAGCCAAACGGAACCAACCAGAAAUAUAGAGGCCCUGCACUGGAGAUGAGCGCUGAUCAUUCAUUUGGUACAAGUGCAUCAUGCCCACUGUGUUAACUGCUGUACCUGUACACUGUCACUUAGAAGCAUGAAAAUGUUCGAAGGACGAACACCAGCCACAAAACUGUGCAGAGUGAAGCAUCCCACCCAGGACAAGAAGGGGCUUCACGUCUCUCAUCAAAAACCUGCUUUUAUAUCCAAAUAUAACUUCGCUUUACAGGGAAGAAACUGAAGUAGGAUUCUGCCAUGACAUGUCCAAGUAGAUUUUAAGACAAAAAUAUUGUCCAGAUGAAUAGAAAUGCACCGCCAUAAGAUAAUAAUAUUUCUACUUGAAUGGAAAUCAUUGGUCAUUUGACAUCUGAUACUAGAGAAUCCAUAAGACUUCCAGCCUGUUGUUUAUAAUUAUCAAAAUGAUGUAUGUAUGUCUUUUUCUUCACAUAAAAUUAUCUCCUGUCUAUAUACUGAUUGGUCAGAUUCUAAUUGCAUUAACACAGUUAAUUUCAUAAUGGGUUAGUUAACUAAUAACACUGUUUCAUCAUUAAUAAAAGGCUUUUUUUCCCCAUGAA